rnacentral:rRNA from 1 species
GCUUGUCUCAAAGAUUAAGCCAUGCAUGUCUAAGUAUAAACACCUUUAUACUGUGAAACUGCGUACAGCUCAUUAAAUCAGUAAUAAUUUAUUUGAUGGUGACUUACUACAUGGAUAACCGUAGUAACCUAGAGCUAAUACAUGCACAAAAUCCCGACUUCACGGAAGGGAUGUAUUUAUUAGAUAAAAAACCAAUCCGGCAACGGUGCUUGGUGAUUCAUAAUAACUGAGCGAAUCGCAUGGCCUUGUGCCGGCGAUGGUUCAUUCAAGUUUCUGCCCUAUCAGCUUUCGAUGGUAGGGUAUUGGCCUACCAUGGCGUUAACGGGUAACGGAGAAUUAGGGUUCGAUUCCGGAGAGGGAGCCUGAGAAACGGCUACCACAUCCAAGGAAGGCAGCAGG